CUGGGGAUUAAAUCUGAGUGAUGUGGCUCUACAGACUAUAUUAUUGUUGUUUUUUGAAGUGAGAUUUCUUAAAAUAUCAAUUAUUUACAGCAAAACCCUUCUUAUUGUGAUAAAUGCAUAUGGCCAUAUAACCAAAAUCAAAAUGAAGUGAUAAAAUAGUUCCAUUAGCAUGAAACGUUCUCUUGUAUUUCCUUCGUAGUCAGAAAUUCUCACCACCCAAAUGUCGGGAAACCACUGACCUAUUCUUUUAUUUGUUUGUUUCCACAAUUUUGUCUUUUGCAGAUUGUUGCAUACAUGGGAAAACAGUUGUAUGAAUGGCAGGUGAUUCAUCUCCACACACAGAAAUAAAGAGUUUGACAUUUGACAAAGUUUUCAAAACUAAUUACUAAUGGGUACACUGCUGGGUACAAUGAAUUGACCAAAUGUACACAACAAUUUGAAAAGUGUUAAUUCCUAAAAACUGGGAGUGCUGCCAUGUCACAAGAGGGAUAUUUAACAUUAAGGAAAUGGAUUGGAGCACAGACUCCUGUGUCCUGAUCAUGAGGCCUUGGCAAAGCCACCUGACCUCUAUUUGUAUAUUUGUUUAUCCCAGUAAAAUUACGAAUGGUGAUAAGCAGUCCAUUAUUUAUGAAAUAUACCAACAGGUAAACUCUUGU